GCGGGCUCCGGCGGCAGCGACGCGAGCGCGGCGAUGGGGAGCGGCGGCGUGGUCCACUGUAGGUGUGCCAAGUGUUUCUGUUAUCCUACAAAGCGAAGAAUAAGGAGGAGGCCCCGAAACCUGACCAUCUUGAGUCUCCCCGAAGAUGUACUCUUUCACAUCCUGAAAUGGCUUUCUGUAGAGGACAUCCUGGCUGUCCGAGCUGUACACUCCCAGCUGAAGGACCUGGUGGACAACCACGCCACUGUGUGGGCAUGUGCCAGCUUCCAGGAGCUGUGGCCGUCUCCAGGAAACCUGAAGCUCUUUGAAAGGGCUGCCGAAAAGGGGAAUUUCGAAGCUGCUGUGAAGCUGGGCAUAGCCUACCUCUACAAUGAAGGCCGUAAGUCCUCACCCCACCUGCAUGUUGGCGCUUUAGAUAAGCGUGAGCCUUUGGCCCUAUGAAGAGGUGGUCCCCGUGUUAGCAGUUCAGUCGCUGUCCUUGCUCUAUCCGAUGGCGUGCCUCCCCAUUCCCUCUCAGGAGCUCGUGCCCAGAUGUACCCUGCUGAAGGACUUGCUAAUGAUACUCUGACUUUGUAGGUUAUGAGAGUCACCUCUUGUUUUAGCAAACCCUUUAAUUUCAGUUGGCAAAGAGUGACUGAGCCAGAGCCUCAGCAUGGGGGCUGUUCGGGCUCCCGCCCUCUGCACCGUGGGCACGCAGACCUGCCUGUGGAUGCUGGCCCUCUCCUCGGCCAUCCUCUUAGAACUCUUGAGACAGAGUUCAGCGUGCCCUGUAACACAGAGCCAAGCUUCUAAACGGGAAGCAGGUACAGGCAGGUUAGAGCUGGCCUGGUGCCUGCAUCCCUUCAUCCCCAGAGGC
rnacentral:sRNA from 1 species